GGGAACUUGACUUGCACAUAUUAAUUCAAUCAGCAGAAACUGGAGGUUUUAGUCCAGGGUUCCAGACCUAUCGGAAAGAGCAAUCUCUGUGAGCAGCUAUUUCCUGGCAUUGAAGAAUUUACGUGGAAAGUCAAGAGCGUCUCAUUUCCUGGAACUAAAGUGAGUACGUCCCCUACUAGGUUCCUGCUCACACAGUCUCAGAAGACCCUCUCCCGAAAUCCCACCAGACCUUCUCCCAGGAUGACCUAAAUGCAGACGGUCAGCUGGUACUCCAGGUUCCAAUCAGGGAAAACAACCGUACAACCUUCUACGGUAGCUUCUAGAAGGCAGCCAGUGUCCUUAUGAGCUUCUCUUUUCACGGCGCCUAGAACCCAGCUCUCGUGGCGAGUGUGAGUGUGGGUGAAGAGGGCCGGCAGCCGGGGAGGAAGGCGGGCUGGUGACAGCAUUCUUCACCCGUGUGGUCAGAGUUCUUCCUGAUCUGUGCAAUCGCUUCUUGAUGUUCCAGACACAGGCCAGGAAGGCAAAAAGGAAGUGCAAGACACCAUCGCACCUAGAUUCCAGAAAGCUUUCGUUCCUUUUGGAUCAACUUGAGAGGAUGCGCUAAUAAACAGGGUUUCCAGAGAUCCUGGGAAGCAGCCCGGAGACCGGAGCCGGGGCACCUGGCGGGAGCUUCAGCGCGCCUUCCUCCCUGGAACAGCACUGUCACUUGGCACCGUUGUCCUGGCAAGUCAGCCCCGUUCACAGUCCCUCUGAUUGGUCAGCCCUGUCCUUCCAGAUACGCCUUUCUGACAUCUUGCCUCCACGGUGCUGCCUUGCCAGAGGGGGGGUUCUCACCUGGGCCGUCACAGGCUCCAGCCUUCAAUCAGGAUGCUCCCCAGGUAUUUCCAAAUCACCAGGAGGAACGUGGGCUGUGCUCCAGGCUGAUUCCUCCCACCCUCCCUCCCGUUCUUUCCUCUCUCCCUUCCUGUCUUCUUUCCUUUCCUCUGUCCUUUCUACCUUCCUGCCCCUUAUUUAUUGACUUGCUGCUAUAUGCGGGGCACUAAGAGUUUGUUAAUCACCUGGGGGUUAGGCUGAGCUCUUAGAUUUGAAGAUGAGGGAAACAGUGUUGAAAGCACCUAAAGGAGAAGAAAAUUUAUGGGGUGUGUGUUGCAUAAAUGCCCUUCGCUAAUCAGAAAGAUUGUGAAAUGAUUUGGACUUGAAUAAGUCGACGAAGGGGGCAGAGGGGCAAACGGCAAAGCUCGGAGACAGUAGGUGCAGAAAGAGUGAUAGCGCAAAACUGAAUCCGCAGUGCAUAUCAAAUGAAUUUGUGCAGUGCUCCUCCUAUUCAUCCCGACCUGGGCCGGCGGCAAGGGGAACAGAGAGAAAAGUGGAAAAGAUGCUCUGGGGAGGCGUCUUGCUUCGGAGCUGCUGACCGAUACACUACGUGUGGAUUCCCCGGGGAUUUCCAGGCGGGUGGCUGUGGAACAGGCAGAGGUUUAGUGGUUUCCCAGGAAGGAAUAAAUUUCCUGCAGUGAAUCACCCUGUGUCAAGGAGGAUUUUUGUGACAUCAGCUCCAAGCAGAUCAUCGAGGCUUUCCCACUCAAGAGGGCAUUGGAGCAUAACACCACCAUGGCCCACACUUUAUUUUUUCUUUCUUGUAUUUUCCAAAGGGCCAUUUGGACCAAAAGUGGCCUGUGGCCCCUGGAAACUCUGAGUAAUGGCUUGGCAUCUUAGGAAUCUGUGUGUCGUACUUUCUGGAAGAGUCUGGAAAGGUCUAGUUCUGUCUGGAAAACAAAACUCAUGGUUGUUAACGUGAAAGUGUAACCCUGCUUCUUCCUUUUCUUCUAGUAAAUGCUGCAAACUUGAAAUAAAAUGAAUUAGACCCUUUGGA